UCUAUUUGUCCUGGCGCGGGUAACCCGCAUCUUCACGGGUACUUCAAUUUCGCCGAGUCCCUCGUUGAGACAGCGCCCAGAUCGUUACGCCAUUCGUGCGGGUCGGAACUUACCCGACAAGGAAUUUCGCUACCUUAGGACCGUUAUAGUUACGGCCGCCGUUCACUGGGGCUUCGGUUCAAACCGUGAAGCUCUCCCCUUAACCUUCCAGCACUGGGCAGGCGUCAGCCCCUAUACUUCCCCUUACGGGUUGGCAGAGACCUGUGUUUUUGGUAAACAGUCGCCUGGGCCGGCUCGCUGCGGCCCCAGCCUGCUCCACUCGCGAAGAGUUUCACAGUCCGGGGCGCUCCUUAUCCCGAAGUUACGGAGCUAUUUUGCCGAGUUCCUUAACGAGGGUUAUCUCGAUCACCUAAGGGUACUUACCCCCGCCCACCAGAGUCGGUUUGCGGUACGGGCACUUACGGUGCUAGUAACGAGGCUCUUCUUGCCAGUGUAGGCUCAGCAUACUCGGAUUUGACAAAAGUCUCCUCCUCGCUCCGACCCCUCCGCUUAACCUGGGAACUGCAUUUGUGACUGCAAGGCUGGAGUACGGUAGAGGGGGAUGGAAUUCCGCGUGUAGCAGUGAAAUGCGUAGAUAUGCGGAGGAACACCGAUGGCGAGGGCAAUCCCCUGGACCUGUACUGACGCUCAUGCACGAAAGCGUGGGGAGCAAACAGGAUUAGAUACCCUGGUAGUCCACGCCCUAAACGAUGUCAACUGGUUGUUGGGAAGGUUCCUUCUCAGUAACGUAGCUAACGCGUGAAGUUGACCGCCUGGGGAGUACGGCCGCAAGGUUGAAACUCAAAGGAAUUGACGGGGACCCGCACAAGCGGUGGAUGAUGUGGUUUAAUUCGACGCAACGCGAAAAACCUUACCUACCCUUGACAUGUCUGGAAUUUUACAGAGAUGUGAAAGUGCUCGAAAGAGAACCAGAACACAGGUGCUGCAUGGCCGUCGUCAGCUCGUGUCGUGAGAUGUUGGGUUAAGUCCCGCAACGAGCGCAACCCUUGUCAUUAGUUGCUACGAAAGGGCACUCUAAUGAGACUGCCGGUGACAAACCGGAGGAAGGUGGGGAUGACGUCAGGUCAUCAUGGCCCUUAUGGGUAGGGCUACACACGUCAUACAAUGGCCGGUACAGAGGGCUGCCAACCCGCGAGGGGGAGCCAAUCCCAGAAAACCGGUCGUAGUCCGGAUCGCAGUCUGCAACUCGACUGCGUGAAGUCGGAAUCGCUAGUAAUCGCGGAUCAGCUUGCCGCGGUGAAUACGUUCCCGGGUCUUGUACACACCGCCCGUCACACCAUGGGAGCGGGUUCUGCCAGAAGUAGUUAGCCUAACCGCAAGGAGGGCGAUUACCACGGCAGGGUUCGUGACUGGGGUGAAGUCGAAACAAGGUA
rnacentral:rRNA from 1 species